rnacentral:lncRNA from 1 species
UUCAAGACCAGCUUGGCUAACAUGGUGAAACCCCGUAUCUACUAAAAAUACAAAAAUUAGCCAGGUGUGGUGGUGCAUGCCUGUAAUCCCAGAUACUCAGGAGGCUGAGGCACAAGAAUCACUUGAACCCAGAAGGCAGAGGUUGCAGACCGAGAUUGUGCCACUGCACUCCAGCCUGGGCGACAGAGUGAGACUCUGUCUCACAAAAAAAAAAAAAAGUGUCCAAAAAUAACAGAUGUUGGCGAGGCCGCAGAGAAAACAUGCACUGUCGGUGGGAAUGUAAAUUAGUACAACCUUUAUGGAAAACAGUAUGGAGGAUUCUCAAAGAACUAAAAAUAAAACUACCAUUUGAUUCAGCAAUCCCACUGCUGGUAUAUGCCCAAAGGAAAAGAAUCAUUAUAUUAAAAAAGAUACCAGCACUUGUAUGUUUAUUGCAGCACUAUUCACAAUAGCAAAGAUAUGGAAUCAACCUAAGUGUAAUCAAUGGAGGAUUGGAUAAGGAAAUGUAAUAUAUACAUUACAUUAUAUAUAUAUAAUGGAAUGCUAAUCAGUCAUAGAAAAUGAAAUCAUGUCUUUUGCAUCAACAUGGAUGAAACUGGAGGCCAUUACCCUCAGUGAAAUAACUCAGAAACAGAAAGACAAAUUCUGUAUGUUCUCACUUAUAAGUGGGAGCUAACAAUUCGUACACAUGGACAUGUAGAGUGAAAUAACAGACACUGGAGACUCCAAAAGGUAGGAGGGUAGGAAGGGGGUGAGGGUUGAAAAGUGACCUAUUGCUACACUGUUCACUAUUCGGGUGAUGAGUACACUAAACUCAAACUUCACCACAAUGAAAUAUAUGCAUGUAAGAAACCUGAAUUUGUACUCCCUAAAUAUAUAUUUUAAAACAUUUAGGUUCUUUAAAAAACUAUGUAGCUGGUGCUCGCUUUAGUAGCACAUAUACUAAAACUGGAAUAAUAAAAGAUAAGCAUGACCCCUGUACAAAGAUUACAAAACAAAGACAAAAACAAAGAUAGUUAAUAUCUUCAAGGAGAUUGUCAUAGGUUUGUUUAAUAUAGUUGCUUUCUUGGCAUCCAGUUUUUGGCCUGACAUAAGUUGUUUGAAACCCAAUUAGUUGUACUCCUUUGGCCUAGUUAAAACUUCCCCUCCCUAUAUGAUUGUUUGCAAUAUAGUGCAUUCUCUCUCUUUUUCUCUCUCUCUCUCUCCCCAUUCACUGAUUGAACAUCCUACUGCGUCUUGACUUCCCAUCAGCCACCCCUAACCUCUUUGAGAUCUGUAAAUAAUAAAUUUCUUCUGUUUUAUGCAUUUUGGUUUCAUUUGGUCUCACCUGACCAUCUAAACCUUACUCUCCUCCUGGUUAGAGCUCUCCUAGAAAGUGGCUAUCUUGGUUUCUGGCUACUCUCCAGAGACAGCUCUCAAGACCAAAUUAGAGGAAAUCACAACAGAGACAAGAAAAGACAUUGUAUUCAUGACGACAAGAAAAGCAGAAUGCUAUAAACCUAUGAACCUAUAAGUUUUUAAAGAAUAAGACAGAACUUUUCGAAAUUAAAAAUACCUUAGAAGAAAAUUUUCAAUAAAAGACUUGGAACAUAAAUUUGAAGGAGUAUAUCAGAUAAUAGAACACAAAUAAAAAGAGAUUAAACAAAUACUAUGACAAAACAAGAAAACCAGAGGAUCAAUCCAGGAGGCCCAAACAUCAAAAUAAUAGGAGUUCCCAAAAGAGAGAUAAAAAAAUAGUGGAGAGAAAAUUACCAAUGAAAUAACAUGAGAAUACCUUCCAGAACUGAAAGAUCUGGAAGAAUUUUCUGAUUGAAAGAACUUUCGAUCAGCUCAGAAAAAAUUAAUUUUUAAAAAAUCCACUCCAAGUCACAUCAUUAUGAAGCAUUAGGACUUCAUGGAUAAAGAAAUCUUAA